GAUGAAGAACGUAGCGAAAUGCGAUAAGUAAUGUGAAUUGCAGAAUUCCGUGAAUCAUCGAAUCUUUGAACGCACAUUGCGCCCCCUGGUAUUCCGGGGGGCAUGCCUGUCCGAGCGUCAUUGCUGCCCUCAAGCACGGCUUGUGUGUUGGGCCCCGUCCUCCGAUCCCGGGGGACGGGCCCGAAAGGCAGCGGCGGCACCGCGUCCGGUCCUCGAGCGUAUGGGGCUUUGUCACCCGCUCUGUAGGCCCGGCCGGCGCUUGCCGAUCAACCCAAAUUUUUAUCCAGGUUGACCUCGAAUCAGGUAGGGAUACCCGCUGAACUUAAGCAUAUCAAUAAGCGGAGGA
rnacentral:misc_RNA from 1 species